GACGAACGCUGGCGGCGUGCUUAACACAUGCAAGUCGAACGGAAAGGCCCUGCUUUUGUGGGGUGCUCGAGUGGCGAACGGGUGAGUAACACGUGAGUAACCUGCCCUUGACUUUGGGAUAACUUCAGGAAACUGGGGCUAAUACCGGAUAGGAGCUCCUGCUGCAUGGUGGGGGUUGGAAAGUUUCGGCGGUUGGGGAUGGACUCGCGGCUUAUCAGCUUGUUGGUGGGGUAGUGGCUUACCAAGGCUUUGACGGGUAGCCGGCCUGAGAGGGUGACCGGGGACAUUGGGACUGAGAGACGGACCAGACGCCUACGGGAGGCAGCAGUGGGGAAUAUUGCACAAUGGGCGGAAGCCUGAUGCGGCAACGCCGCGUGCGGGAUGACGGGCUUCGGGGUGUAAACCGCUUUCGACGGUGACGAAGCGUGAGUGACGGUAAUGGGUAAAGAAGCACCGGCUAACUACGUG
rnacentral:rRNA from 1 species